rnacentral:rRNA from 1 species
GCUGGGGGAUUAGUGGCGAACGGGUGAGUAACACGUGAGUAACCUGCCCUUAACUCUGGGAUAAGCCUGGGAAACUGGGUCUAAUACCGGAUAUGACUCCUCAUCGCAUGGUGGGGGGUGGAAAGCUUUUUGUGGUUUUGGAUGGACUCGCGGCCUAUCAGCUUGUUGGUGAGGUAAUGGCUCACCAAGGCGACGACGGGUAGCCGGCCUGAGAGGGUGACCGGCCACACUGGGACUGAGACACGGCCCAGACUCCUACGGGAGGCAGCAGUGGGGAAUAUUGCACAAUGGGCGAAAGCCUGAUGCAGCGACGCCGCGUGAGGGAUGACGGCCUUCGGGUUGUAAACCUCUUUCAGUAGGGAAGAAGCGAAAGUGACGGUACCUGCAGAAGAAGCGCCGGCUAACUACGUGCCAGCAGCCGCGGUAAUACGUAGGGCGCAAGCGUUAUCCGGAAUUAUUGGGCGUAAAGAGCUCGUAGGCGGUUUGUCGCGUCUGCCGUGAAAGUCCGGGGCUCAACUCCGGAUCUGCGGUGGGUACGGGCAGACUAGAGU